rnacentral:rRNA from 1 species
UACGUAGGGUGCGAGCGUUAAUCGGAAUUACUGGGCGUAAAGCGUGCGCAGGCGGUGAUGUAAGACAGUUGUGAAAUCCCCGGGCUCAACCUGGGAACUGCAUCUGUGACUGCAUUGCUGGAGUGCGGCAGAGGGGGAUGGAAUUCCGCGUGUAGCAGUGAAAUGCGUAGAUAUGCGGAGGAACACCGAUGGCGAAGGCAAUCCCCUGGGCCUGCACUGACGCUCAUGCACGAAAGCGUGGGGAGCAAACAGG